rfam:Pseudomonas syringae strain GAW0119 contig43.1, whole genome shotgun sequence.
AUCCUUCCCCCAUGUUCCGCUGACGUGUCAGCAACAUGCCCAGGUAGCUUAGAUCUUCAAGGCUACGACGCCGCCAUGCGUUGAUCAUCCCAAGAUCGCCAUCGCAUUCGGCAGCGCGAUCAAUCGUCGGCAGAAUCGACGAUCGAAUGC